GACGAACGCUGGCGGCGUGCUUAACACAUGCAAGUCGAGCGGUAAGGCCCUUUCGGGGGUACGACGAGCGGCGAACGGGUGAGUAACACGUGGGUGACCUGCCCUCAGCUCUGGGAUAAGCCUGGGAAACCGGGUCUAAUACUGGAUAUGACUCCAUGACGCAUGUUGUGGGGUGGAAAGCCUUGUGCGGCUGAGGAUGGGCCCGCGGCCUAUCAGCUUGUUGGUGGGGUGAUGGCCUACCAAGGCGACGACGGGUAGCCGGCCUGAGAGGGCGACCGGCCACACUGGGACUGAGACACGGCCCAGACUCCUACGGGAGGCAGCAGUGGGGAAUCUUGCGCAAUGGGCGAAAGCCUGACGCAGCGACGCCGCGUGAGGGAUGACGGCCUGGUGUAAC
rnacentral:rRNA from 1 species